ACACGAAGAAUUAAGAUAGCAGAGGUACUGACUUCGGUGCGUGCUGGGGUUACCGAUCAAGCGCCUAGCACCAUUUGAAAUCAGUACUACUCGUCUUAG
rnacentral:pre_miRNA from 1 species